rnacentral:rRNA from 1 species
GACGGGGGAGCACCACAACGGGUGGAGCUUGCGGUUUAAUUGGAUUCAACGCCGGAAAUCUUACCGGGACCGACAGCAAUAUGAAGGCCAGGCUGAAGACUUUGCCGGAUUAGCUGAGAGGUGGUGCAUGGCCGUCGUCAGUUCGUACUGUGAAGCAUCCUGUUAAGUCAGGCAACGAGCGAGACCCACGCCCACAGUUGCCAGCGUACUCUCUGGAGUGACGGGUACACUGUGGGGACCGCCGCUGCUAAAGCGGAGGAAGGAAUGGGCAACGGUAGGUCAGUAUGCCCCGAAUAUCCCGGGCUACACGCGAGCUACAAUGGUUGGUACAAUGGGUAUCUACCCCGAAAGGGGACGGGAAUCUCCUAAAACCAAUCUUAGUUCGGAUUGAGGGCUGCAACUCGCCCUCAUGAAGCUGGAAUCCGUAGUAAUCGCGUUUCAACAGAACGCGGUGAAUACGUCCCUGCUCCUU